rnacentral:rRNA from 1 species
UACGUAGGGGGCUAGCGUUGUCCGGAUUUAUUGGGCGUAAAGAGCGUGUAGGCGGCCAGGUAGGUCUGCUGUGAAAACUCGAGGCUCAACCUCGAGACGUCGGCGGAAACCAUCUGGCUAGAGUCCGGAAGAGGAGAGUGGAAUUCCGUGGUGUAGCGGUGAAAUGCGCAGAUAUCAGGAAGAACACCCGUGGCGAAGGCGGCUCUCUGGGACGGUACUGACGCUGAGACGCGAAAGCGUGGGUAGCAAACAGG